GACGAACGCUGGCGGCGUGCCUAAUACAUGCAAGUUGAGCGAUGAAGAUUGGUGCUUGCACCAAUUUGAAGAGCAGCGAACGGGUGAGUAACGCGUGGGGAAUCUGCCUUUGAGCGGGGGACAACAUUUGGAAACGAAUGCUAAUACCGCAUAACAACUUUAAACAUAAGUUUUAAGUUUGAAAGAUGCAAUUGCAUCACUCAAAGAUGAUCCCGCGUUGUAUUAGCUAGUUGGUGAGGUAAAGGCUCAACAAGGCGAUGGUACAUAGCCGACCUGAGAGGGUGGUCGGCCACAUUGGGACUGAGACACGGCCCAAACUCCUACGGGAGGCAGCAGUAGGGAAUCUUCGGCAAUGGACGAAAGUCUGACCGAGCAACGCCGCGUGAGUGAAGAAGGUUUUCGGAUCGUAAAACUCUGUUGGUAGGGAAGAACGUUGGUGAGAGUGGAAAGCUCAUCAAGUGACGGUAACUACCCAGAAAGGGACGGCUAACUACGUG
rnacentral:rRNA from 1 species